rnacentral:rRNA from 1 species
AUUGAACGCUGGCGGAAUGCUUUACACUUGCAAGUCGAACGGCAGCACGGACUUCGGUCUGGUGGCGAGUGGCGAACGGGUGAGUAAUGUAUCGGAACGUGCACAGUCGUGGGGGAUAACGUAGUGAAAAUUACGCUAAUACCGCAUACGAUCUAUGGAUGAAAGCGGGGGAUCGCAAGACCUCGCGCGAUUGGAGCGGCCGAUAUCAGAUUAGGUAGUUGGUGGGGUAAAGGCCCACCAAGCCAACGAUCUGUAGCUGGUCUGAGAGGACGACCAGCCACACUGGAACUGAGACACGGUCCAGACUCCUACGGGAGGCAGCAGUGGGGAAUUUUGGACAAUGGGCGAAAGCCUGAUCCAGCCAUUCUGCGUGCAGGAUGAAGGCCCUCGGGUUGUAAACUGCUUUUGUACAGAACGAAAAGGUUUCUACUAAUACUAGGAGCUCAUGACGGUACUGUAAGAAUAAGCACCGGCUAACUACGUGCCAGCCGCCGCCGUAA